UACGGGGGGGGCAAGCGUUGUUCGGAAUUACUGGGCGUAAAGGGCUGGUAGGCGGCCAACUAAGUCGGAUGUGAAAUCCCAGGCUCAACCUGGGAACUGCAUCCGAUACUGGAUGGCUUGAAUUCGGGAGAGGGAUGCAGAAUUCCAGGUGUAGCGGUGAAAUGCGUAGAUAUCUGGAGGAAUACCGGUGGCGAAGGCGGCAUCCUGGACCGACAUUGACGCUGAGGAGCGAAAGCCAGGGGAGCAAACGGG
rnacentral:rRNA from 1 species